GGGUGUGAUCAUACCAGCGUUAAUGCACCGGAUCCCAUUAGAACUUUGUAGUUAAGCGCGCUUGGGCUAGAGUAGUACUGGGAUGGGUGACCUCCCGGGAAGUCCUAGUGUUGCACCCU
rnacentral:rRNA from 1 species